GCCACUCAAAAAAAACCUAGAGAAUUUCAAGAUCUUGGUUUUAAACUGCUGAAAAACACUAGUCUUAAAGAAAAAAGUGAACUCCGGUAAUGUCUACUGGGCUCCCCGGAGUGCCGUUGGUUCCGCCGUUGCCGUUUCCUCCGGCGGAUAAUGCAACUACUCCAACAUCUCCGGUGAACCCAAGUACUACUCCUCCGUCUCCAGAUGUUGCUAGUCAGCCUUCUCCGGCGACCUUGUUAAAUCCGCCGCCCUCAUCGAUUAAUGGAAGCUCUCCCACGAGUGCUCCGUCGAAUGGGUCAUCGAAUAGUACAACUUUAGUAGCACUUGGAGUUGGAAUUGGGAUUGGAGGAGCACUUGUGCUUAUAUGUGUGUGCAUUUUUGCACUUUGGUAUAAGAGGAGAAAAAGGCGUCUUGGGCUAAAUGGUUUUGGUCAUGAUCCAUCACAAGCUCCCAAAGAUAAUUUGUUUGGUGGUCAACA
rnacentral:misc_RNA from 1 species